CAAAAGCUUUCAGGCCAGGAAGAUGGGUUUCUAUUUUCGGAUAUUCAUUCGAAUGUCCAUCACCACCAUGGUAUCGUUUCUGGCCGUUUGAUACAUUCGUUUUUUGAAGCGGAAAUGUUGCUUGAGCAUGAGUACGGGGAGAAAAGAUCAGCUUAAGUGCUCAGAUCGUCGUCUCCUCUAUGUUGAUGAGAUAGCACAUAUCUCCCACUUAACGGACUAUAUAACCAUUUAAACGCAACUAUUUUCUGCUUCUGGAUUGUUGCGAAGUGCAUGCCAAAGGCUCUGGCCAGAUCGGUUAUUGAAGUUGGGAAACGCCAUCGUUAUCCUUCAUCACCACCGCAACAACGACAACCAAUACAAAACCAUCGCCAUCGCCAACCGCAUCGCUGGUCAUAACGACAAAUAAGCGAAAGCCCUGCAUUAAUGGAGAAGAAAUGAAGCUGGAAGAAAAAAAGAAUUAUAUAUAUAUUCAAAAAGGUUCACACCUCCAAGCUGUUGACUCGGGGGUGCUACGUCCUCUUCCCUACCCUGCUCUCGCAAAGCGCGCUGGGUGGGAAUCGAACAGCCGACCACUCCAGCAGUCCUGAGCGGGGGCCGGCUUUCCCCGCUAGGCCACUGGGGUCAGCUGUUCGUUGGUAUUGUACACAUUUCUCUGGGUUUUGAGUCAAUAAUUUUUAGCUAUUUUGGGCAGUGUUGGGUGAAUGGACGAAUGAAUGCUGUUUUGGGUAAGGACGGCGGUUGGGUGGGCAACCUACUACGCGUGGAUAAGCCAGCUAGGUAUCUAUCUGGAUCGAAACGAAACGACUCCCUGUGUUGCUACUAGGAGCCUUUGGUAUGGCUGGGCUGGCCCGCUGGCAGGAUACUCUGUACGUAUCAGUGAUACUCCGGUGCGCA
rnacentral:sRNA from 1 species